rnacentral:rRNA from 1 species
ACGCGAGGAACCUUACCAGGUCUUGACAUCCCAUUGACCGCUAUGGAGACAUAGCUUUCCCUUCGGGGACAGUGGUGACAGGUGGUGCAUGGUUGUCGUCAGCUCGUGUCGUGAGAUGUUGGGUUAAGUCCCGCAACGAGCGCAACCCUUGAUCUUAGUUGCCAGCAUUUAGUUGGGCACUCUAAGGUGACUGCCGGUGACAAACCGGAGGAAGGUGGGGAUGACGUCAAAUCAUCAUGCCCCUUAUGACCUGGGCUACACACGUGCUACAAUGGAUGGUACAAAGGGCAGCAAAGCGGUGACGCCUAGCAAAUCCCAUAAAACCAUUCUCAGUUCGGAUUGCAGGCUGCAACUCGCCUGCAUGAAGCUGGAAUCGCUAGUAAUCGCGGAUCAGCAUGCCGCGGUGAAUACGUUCCCGGGCCUUGUACACACCGCCCGU